GUUGGACGCACCCCUGGUUCACCGGUUGUUCCGCCAGGAGCAUCGCCGGGUAGCUAAGUGCGGAUUGGAUAAGUGCUGAAAGCAUCUAAGUACGAAGCCGACUUCAAGAUAAGAUAUCCCUUAAGGGUGGUUGUAGACUACGACCUUGAUAGGCUACAGGUGUAAAGGCAGUAAUGUCAUAGCCGAGUAGUACUAAUAGCCCGGACGCUUUCUAAAA
rnacentral:rRNA from 1 species